GGUUUUUUGUAAUGAUGAAAAAUCUAACCUGCCCGGUGGGAUUAAAUGGCCGCAGUAUUGUGACUGUGCUAAGGUAGCAUAAUAAUUAGUUUUGUAAUUAAGGACUGGAAUGAAGGGUUGGACGAAGGAAAGUCUGUCUUUGAAGAAGUGAUUGAAGUUUGUUUUGUUGUGAAAAGACAACAGUGAAGUUGAGGGACGAGAAGACCCUAUUAAGUUUUACGUGCUAGUAUUAGUGGAUGAUAUAUGAGUUGUUUUUUAUUGUUGGGUGUGUUUUACUGGGGCGGUGCUGAGAGAUAAAAUCUUUUGGAUUAUAGAAGAAUUGACUGGGAUCCAGGGUUAAUCUUGAUAGGUGGAUUAAAUUACUGUAGGGAUAACAGCGUAAUAUUGUUUGAGAGCUCAUAUUGAUAACAAAUUUUGCGACCUCGAUGUUGAAUUAUUAUGUCUGCUCGGUGCAGUGGCUGGGUGAGAGGGUCUGUUCGACCUUUGAAGUUUUACA
rnacentral:rRNA from 1 species